UGAUGAAUAGUAUUCUGUGAUGUAGUGCAGUUUCCCCCUUCCUCUUCCAAUUGCUACAUGAAAAGCAAAAAUAUUAAUAAAUAAAAAAAUAUUUCUAAGAGCCUUAGAUUACUAUUUAUUGUGUUAACACAAAUAUAAUCUAAGUAAACCCUUAAGAAAGCUGCAUAUUUUCACUCAUUUCUUUAUCUCACAGUCUACAUAAAACUGGAGUGUGAAUACUGUCACCUAGGGUUUAUUUUCAGCUCUAGCCAGGAGAAAGAAUAUUGAAAAACCCACUUUUCUCAAGUCUAGAGCAGUGUUAGGCUUCAAUAGCUUCUAGCCACAUUCUUUUAGCUCUUUCUCUUCAGAGAAGUAAACCAGGGCAUAGUUUAAAUUUUUAUCACCAUUUGCAAGAGCAGAACUUUGGUUCUGCUUUGGUUUUUAGUGUGGGCAGAAAAGUGCCACCCCUUUUUUAACACAUGGUGACAGGGAAUGGGGUCCCACAUGAGGACUUCAUGCUGUUCCUCAGGGAAGACUGAAGGCCCAUUUCUUGUGUGCAGUCAGGAGAAACAAGGGGAGGACUGUGGUUGCAGCAGAGUGUAGGAAAUGAAGGUGACUCCAGCUACAGCAGGACUCCACAUUAGCUAUUGAUGCUGCUUUUGUAAGCUGAAACCUUCUGGAUGAACUAGAUACUAACAGCAAGUGACAAUGGUCUUUUGUUUCAUGUGCUCUUUGCUGAAGAAACAAGUUAAUUUCUAAUAACUACAUGCAAUAAUUGUGCUUUUCUAUGACAUACAGAUGUAUAUGAGCUUAUUACAGAAAAAUACAACUCAGUAUUUAGUUUGAAGGAUUUAGGAAAUGUUUAUAAUUUCCAAUAUAAUUACAUGAAGUUCUUUAGCAUACACAAGAGAACAUAGCCUUUAACUACAGGACUCCUUACUACCCUUUUCUCCAAAAGACCUAACUCAUUCUGGAUAUAAGAUUGAAUUAAAUACUUGUAUCUGUCUUAAACUCUAAUGGUAUGACCCUUUUCUGUUUUCUCUUUCUCCUCCAAAUGGUUGCUGCUGUAGGUUACUUUCUAACAGAUUUUCAUUGUGCAUAGUUUGUAGCAGCAAUGCUACAGUAACUGAACAAUAGAACACUUAAUAAGUGAAUAUUCACAGCAGCUCAAUAAAGAUACCAAUAUUUUCAGAGAUGAACAAGUGGAGAACAGAGCAAAACACUCCCAGAAUCUGCAAAAUUUGGUUUCCAAAUACUGUCCCAAAGGAUUGACUUAUCCCAAGGGGAGACAAUUUCUUCAAAUAUUUGGCAUUUUAAAAAAUUAUUUUGAUGUUCAACACACUGCAAAAAUACAGUUUAUUUGUUAUUAUGUUACUUUUGUAACACAAUAAAACUUUUGUGAGAAGAUGAUUAACUGCUGUAUUUCUUUAUGACAGAAAAAUUGUGAGAAUUUAGAUACAUAAUCAAACUGUCCUGUCUCAAAGUAACAAGCACCAUAGGCAUCUCUGAAUAAGCUCUUUUACAAUGGAAAACAAAAGAUGAACUAGUUUUAAAUCCUAUUUUUUUGCAGACUGAUGUGACCUAAUUAUCUCACAUUUGACAUAAACUAAAACCACACAGAAAAAUACUACAGCUCACCUUAAAGACUGGAAGAUCACUGUAUGUCUGAGUGGUGGCAUAUCCUAGAGAGGGUGGUAAUGGUAGGUCCAGAACUCAGGACUGUGGAGAGUCCCAACCCGAGGCUGUCCUUCAGAAGCAAGUGAUUUAUUGCAAAUGAUGUUGAGCACUCUCAAUUCCCUGAACACAAUUCAAAAGGUACAGUACUUCCCUAGGGCUCCAAAAAUCUGAAAAUCAAGAUAAAGUUGGGCAGACAUAUUCAAUAAAGAACAUAAAAUUAGUUGUCACAUUAAUAUUUUUGCUUAAAUGACCUAAGUAGCUUCACAUAGCAUCUCUGUUAUAGGUUAUAGUUCUGAUGACAGAAAACUCUUGGAAGACAUUACCUUCCAAAUUCUGCAUGCUAUGAUAUAAUGCAGUUACAAAACAUAAUAGAAUUUGCUAUACAUUUCUAACACAUUCCUGUUCCCUGCAAAGCACAUGUAAAAUGGGAGUGCAUGUGACCCACCUGCAUAAGGUCUCUAAAAUGAUCAGUGUGAACAAGAGAGAAAAAAAAAAAGGCAAAGGAACAAACUAAACACUGGUAUUUAUUUCUAGGUUUGAGGUUUUUUUUUUAUCCUAUUGUUUUUUAGACUUCUCAUCUAAAUUAUUAAUUUUUAUACUACUAUAAAUUUAUCAGGUGCUGCCUCAGUACCUUUUUCAUACCUGUAAUCACCUACUUGAGAUGACGGCUCAUAGUCCAUGCACAGUAGUAUGAGUGUGCUUUUGGCAAUGUAAUAAAAAAGGAGGUUUGUGGGGGUGAAUUUUAUGAACACCAACACUCAUUAUGUAGAUAUUAAAGCAGAGCAAUUAUAUUCUUCCAGAGUAAAUGAAUUCUGAGUGCUGGAUGAGAAUGGGAACUUGUAAGAACAGGUUCGGUUGAAGUUGUGUUUAAUUUCUUGAUAAUAUUAACAAAAUCAGGCCUUUGAAAGACUAAUUAAAAUAACUUCUUAUUAAAAUAAAUGAAUUGUGAGAGAAUUUAAAGAUUUAGACUGGAGAGGGAGGCAAUUUUAAACACAUUAAUUUCUCUCUUCAGCUAGCCAACAUCCAGAGAGUGUUUUAGAGCAUCUGGCUUAGGUACUCUGGAUUAGUUUCUGUAAGCAAAGAUCACUCCACUGAAUGUGUAGGUACUCUAGGUACCUGUAGCAGCAAAAGUAGUUAUUUGAAGCUAGGUGAUGAAUGUGCUCUGUAUUUCCCCAAAUGUUGCACCAAGGUCAUUUCACAUAGAAGAAAAAAAAAUCCUGAUCAGUGGAGUAGGGGAAUACAGACAUCUUUUUACAGCUUCUACCAAGUUCAAUGAGUUGGCAAACAACAGCUUUGUGAAUGUCUCAUGAUAUUCUCCAAAUCAAAGAGAUUUUCAUUAAAAAUUCAGAGAAUAAUUUUUGGGUCACUCAGGGGAAUUCUUUAUAUCCCAAGGAAGUUUAUGAUAUAGAAAACCUCAAUUUGCAAAUUGUGUAAACUUUUCCAUAAACUUGGAAACAUUUUUCUUUGAUGAAAACUAUUAGGUGGGUAUAAACAGCAGGCUUGCAAAAUAAAUUGUUAAAGUAAGCCAAGCACUGUGAAGUUAGUUAAAUAUCAGUUACAGGUCAGUGAAACCAAAAUUCAGGUCUUGUCAUGUAUACAUUUGAUGUAGUCAGUGUCUGAGUCAAACUUUGUUAGAUUGGUUUUUUUUUUUGUUUCAACCAUUAAGUUUAAAAUAGAUGAGGGUAUUUUUUUUCUGCUUGAUUUCAUUCUUAAGAAAGGGCACUGAAGGAACAGCUAUUCAGUAUUUCUUUUAUCCUCAUUAUUCAAUGUGUUUUUUCCUUUAUUAAUUUUCUGAACUCUAUUCCAAACUUUAAUUUUUCUUGACAACAUUAUGACUUUCACAGUUGUCUUUCUGUGUCAUUUGUGGUAACAGUAUGUGAAUACCUCAUAAAUGUAACUAAUUAUUUAUUAUAUUCCUGAGUUAAAAUAAAAAAUUCAACACUGUUACUUUGCCUGGGUAAGCUAAGACUUGCACCUAACCUCAAACAGCAUUUUACAGUCAGGCACAGCUGAUGAUGACACUUGUAACUCUGGUGAAAAUCAGAUCCAAAAAGUCUUUCUAAGAUCUCAAGACAACAAAACCCACAACAUUAGCAGCCUUUUACUUUGAGCAAUUUUUCUACCCUCACACAAAACUGCUGAUAGAGAUGCUGAAGGACAAUAUAAUCCAUUCCUUUGUUUUGGCCAAACUCAGCUGUUUGCCAUUAAACACCCUCUAAAUCACUGGGAAUGUCUGCCAGUGGUUCUGUGGUUAAGAGCCUAUUUGGGCACGCAACCCUUAAACAUUUCCACAGACAUCCUCGUAUAUUAGGCAAGACUGCAAUUAAAAAUACAAGCACUGGGAAAAUAAAUCUGAGAUAGGAUCAUUCUGGUGGGUGUCUAAUUUGCUAAUACAGACAGAGCUUUUGCUUGUUCUACAUAUUUCUCCUGACCCCUUCACCAUGCACCCCAAACAUCUUUUUCUGGAUCUGACAGAAAAAAAGAUUUAUUAUUUUUCUGAACUGUUUAGAAUUUUGACCAAAAUCCUUGGACUGAGCAGAUACACAUCUUGGAAAAUUCAACAUCUUGAAAAUCCACCAUCUUGAAGAGGACACAGUUGCAUUUACAGAACAUCUUAAUGGUAGAUAAUAUAGCCAGCCCUGCCAAAAGUAUUGUACAACUCUGAAUCUAAAAUGAUACCUAAAUUGGUAUAAAAUAAAACUUUGGUUGUUUCUAGAACUGUCAGCUCUAUAAAGUUUAAGAAUAUGUAGAUUUUUAGGGUCCAGUCCAAUUGUGCUCAGUGAUAUAGGGAGGACAGUGGGUAUUACCAGGUGUCUCAAGCCCAGGUGUCUCAGUGUUUCAAAAACCUUUCAUGCUCAUCAAAGACAUACAGCAUGAGAAACUUACCAUGUCAACAGGUGAUGCAGCUAUAGAAAAAUAGGGUUAUAAGGGAAAUGGAUGAAGAAAAUAAUAAUAGGCUUCUUCAGCAGGUAGGGUCCCUAUACACACACAUUCUGCUGUGGCUUCAUCCCAAUUGCCUGGUAAAGUCCGGCAGGCACCAAGUGAUGACAGCACAACUGAACUGUGGACAGAGGAAUUCAGUUCUCAAAACAUAUUCCAGCUCAGAAUGCAUCUCAUGUUUCAUUUCCUGAUGCAGCUUCUUACCCCCACCUGCUGCUUUGCCAAUUGCACUUUAUUACAUCACUUUGACCUGCUGAGUGACCUUAGCCAAAUCAUGCAGCUUCACUGUUUUUCUAACUCUCCAUUAUAAGGCAGAGAUUGACAUACCUGCUGCCUUUAUUUUGAGUUCAGUGCAACAAUUUUCUUUUAAGUUCUGUAGGUGCUUUCAUCUUUCAAGGACUAUGCAGCAUUAUUGGGAUGCCCGUAACUCUUUCAAAUGAGCACUGGGUUCCCUAAAACAUGUGUCCCACGUGCCUUCACAGUCUAAUGAGCAACCCAUUUUUGCCUUAGAUCUGCAAACAAGUUCAGUGAUACAAGAAGUAUUGUGCCUCCUUCAGAAAUGUGAUAGUUCUCAUGAAAAUAAAGUGGUGACUACCACAAACAAAUGAACUUGAUUGCCAAGUUGAGAUUUGAGUGAACAACAGUGCCAAGCAAGUACCUUCAACUAAAUAUUUUUCCUGCAUGUGGGAAAAUUGGUUAUGAUGACAUGAAAAGUAAAAUCUUGACAUGGUACUGUGUCUAAAGUACUCUUCCUGGAUCAAAGUUAUUUCACACUGAUGCUAGCAGGACAUGAGCUGGAAUGAUGCAAUCCAGUCCUUAACAGCUAAGUGUUCUGUUUGAAUCUAAUUAAACUAUAAAACUGACUACAGAUCACAUUCUGAAUUACAUAUUCCCUUGUCAGUCCUUGAUGUCAGCAUGGAUUUUUAGUAUAUGAAACCUGAGUAAGAUCUGCAAGAUUAAAUUCUCUAUCAGAAAGCUACUUUGCUUAACAUGAAUUUUAUGUAAUACAACAUUCCUGUCAGUUGUUUGUAUCUUUGCAUCAUUACAUCAUGAAUUCUAAAACGGAUACCAAAAAGGUAUUAAAUACUCAAAACAGUAUACAGAAUAAAAAGAACCCUAUCAGUUUUGAAUACUCAGAGAAUGCCACACUAAAUUCUUGUAUUAUUAGCAAAUAACAGAAUUUCAUUUGA
ensembl:lncRNA